rnacentral:rRNA from 1 species
GAUCCUGGCUCAGGAUGAACGCUGGCGGCGUGCUUAACACAUGCAAGUCGAACGAUUGAAGCUGGAGCUUGCUCCGGCCGAUUUAGUGGCGGACGGGUGAGUAACGCGUGGGUAACCUGCCUCAUACAGGGGGAUAGGCAGUUGGAAACGACUGGUAAAACCGCAUAAGCGCACGGUGUCGCAUGACACAGUGUGAAAACACUCCGGUGGUAUGAGAUGGACCCGCGUCUGAUUAG